UCCAUAUUGAAGUUUACCUAAGAGCUAUUGAUCUCAAUUGUCUAAUCUUAUGUUGGUCAAGAUCAUGUCUGAGUAUUUGAAUUUUAUCUUUAUUCAUAUACUUGGGAAUGAGUUGAAGUUUGGGGCUCCAUUCUUCUAGCCCUUGCCACCUCUAAAAAUGUAAAAAAUGCUAUCUCAAAAAAAAAUAAAACGACCAAAAUACACAUAAAUCUAUGAGUCUUUUGGUCAUCUUAUUUUUCUUGAAU
rnacentral:lncRNA from 1 species